UCCUACGGGGGGCAGCAGUGGGGAAUAUCGCACAAUGGGCGAAAGCCUGAUGCAGCAACGCCGCGUGAAGGAAGAAGGGUUUCGGCUCGUAAACUUCUAUCAACAGGGACGAAAGAAAUGACGGUACCUGAAUAAGAAGCUCCGGCUAACUACGUGCCAGCAGCCGCGGUAAUACGUAGGGAGCGAGCGUUGUCCGGAAUUACUGGGUGUAAAGGGAGCGUAGGCGGCAGGGCAAGCCUGAUGUGAAAGCCCGGGGCUCAACCCCGGGACUG
rnacentral:rRNA from 1 species